rnacentral:rRNA from 1 species
AUUGAACGCUGGCGGCACGCUUAACACAUGCAAGUCGAGCGGUAACAUGGCUAGCAGCAAUACUAGUUGAUGACGAGCGGCGGACGGGUGAGUAACACGUAGGAACUUGCCCAAUAGAGGGGGACAACCAAGGGAAACUUUGGCUAAUACCGCAUAUACUCGCGAGAGGAAAGCUGCCAGCAAUGGUGGCGCUAUUGGAGAGGCCUGCGUCCGAUUAGUUAGUUGGUGAGGUAAAGGCUCACCAAGGCCGGGAUCGGUAACUGGUCUGAGAGGACGACCAGUCACACUGGGACUGAGACACGGCCCAGACGCCUACGGGAGGCAGCAGUGGGGAAUCUUGGACAAUGGGGGCAACCCUGAUCCAGCGAUGCCGCGUGAGUGAAGAAGGCCUUCGGGUCGUAAAGCUCUUUAGUUCGGGAGGAAGGUUAGUAGUUUAAGAGAUAACUAAUUUGACUGUACCGAAGGAAUAAGCACCGGCAAACUCUGUGCCAGCAGCCGCAGUAA